UGGGGACAGCGAUCUCCCCACGAGGCGACAGCCGAAGAAUCGCGCCCAACCUCAUGGAGGGCGCGUCAUG
rnacentral:ncRNA from 1 species